rnacentral:lncRNA from 1 species
UUUUUCACCCAGAGGGUAGAUGAGCACAGGACCAGGCUCCCCAGGGAAGUGGUCAUGGCCCCAAGCCUGCCACAGUUCACAAACCUUUGGACAAUGCUCUCAGGCACAUGAUGUGAAUUUUGGGGUUGCUGUGUGCAGGGUCAGGAGUUGGAUUUAAUUAUUUUUGUGGGUCCCUUUCAACCCAGGAUAUUCUAUGAUUCUGUGGUUGCAGAAAGAGCCUGUGAUCCAAAAUGAUUGCAGUUUUCCCUGGCACUGGAAAAGGGGUCGGUGGCAUCUGUUACAAAGAGGGGAUGGAGGCCUUGGUGCCAAAACGGCCUCACUUCUUUCCCAAAACCAGGUAUAAGCCACCAAAGAGCAGAAGCACAGUCACUGGAAGACAUCCCAAGGGGUUGGACAGGCAGGAAAGGCUGUGGUCACCGAGCCAGCAGCCCUUGUGCUCCUGGUGCAGGAACAGAGUGGGCCCAGGGACUCCUUGGGGUCAGCCCUGGGCUGUCUGCGAUGAGUGAAGAGGAGUGUGUGGAACGGGGUGAUGCAGAUCCAUGAGCUCCCAGCUGAGGAGGUGACAUUCCUUUUCCUCGCCGAGGCUGAGUUUGCUGCGGGCUCCGGGUGUGAACUGCAGGGGAAUUCCGCAGCUGGGGAGUUCGGGGAUGCCGCUAGAGGGGGAGCUGACAAUGGCUGUGUGUUCCCUGCCGCAGGGAAAACGCGCUGCUCCGGGCAGGGAGCUGGGCGAGCUUGCGGGCGCUUUUAACGACCCACAGAUGGAGGGGGGAAAGUGAUUUUUAAAUUUGUUUUUCUUUUGACUAGAGGUAAGAAAGAGAAAGAUGAGUGCUGCCCUCACCUCCUGCUCUCCAUCUCCCGGGCUUGCUGGGAGCAAAGGGAGAGAGCGAGAAGGGGAGAAGGACCACUGAGCCCUGGCUGCAGGGCGCUGAAGGAAGCUCCCCUGGAGGACCCCAUGAGCACUCCUGCCCCAGGAAGCCCCAGCUCCACUCGUGGGCAUCUUCCGUGGCAGAUGCUUGGUCAGUGAGUGGCCAGCUCCAGCCUGGGGCACGAGUGCUGCCCACAAUCCUUCCAGAGGGAGCCAUGGAACAGCCAAGCUUGGAUCAGCUGCUGCUAUCACACUGGUAGGCUCCUUGAUUUUCCUGCCUUUGGUUUUGCUGUCAGUGCUACCGGCCCUGCUGUGUGACAGCGCUACACAGCCCUUCUGGGCUCAGUUGUUUGCUGCACAUCUGUAUGUGACCAAACAUCUGGACAUGUGUACAUCUGGUCUGGGGUACAAGUUUUAUGAGGAGUAGUCAGCUACUGGGCAGGUGGGGGUGUUUAGCCUGGAGAAAAGGAGACCCAGGGGGGACCAGAUCAUUCUACAACACCCGACAGGAGAGUGUAGCCAGGUGGGGGUUGGCCUUUUCUCCCAGGUAGCAAGGAUGAGGAAACAGCCUCAAGAUGCACUAGGGGAGGUUUAGAUUGGAUAUUAGGUGCAGCCCCCAAAAGAAGAAGCCAGGUGGGUCCCUGUGGGUCCCUAUAUCAGCUCUCCUGUGUCCUCAUUGCUGCCAGUAGCUCAAAAGAGGCAAAAGGAGGUAGGCAGAGCCUUGCCCCAGGCCAGAGGGCCUCUCACUGUGGCACAGGCAGAGAGGUGUCAGGGCUGGGGGUCGGUGGGGAGCAGUGCCAAGGCCAGGACGAGGACAUGAGCCCUGUUCAGGUGAAGGUGCAGAUGGACAAACCUAUCCAGCACAGAUAAUUGAGGCUGUAGAGAAGAGGCAGCCCUGCUUUGGGCCGCUGCUGUGGGUUCCUGGGGGUUUCCCUGCCAAGAGACUUACACCCCCAGGGCAGUAAAAACCUUCCUUGUGUGGGUUUCUGUGAGGUGAGGGGCAGAGAGACCUCCGGUAGGCUGGGGAGGGUCUCUGUGGCUCUGUGGGAAGUGAGGAUGAUGCCUCCAGUACCAUGAACUGGAGAAGGGCUUCCCAAGGACCCCAGCCUGGGGGAUUGGGGGUCUUGGCACUUUUUGUUCAGCUGAACCCUCUCUGCUCUGUGCUCUCGCCUGAACAGGGCUGCUGGGGAGAAAACACUUUCCCGCUUCUGAAGAGCCUCUUUGUUUCUCUCCCAGCCACAAUCUGAGAUCUGGCUUGCAUGAGACAAAGUCUCUCCAGGAAUUUUGGACUCCCAGUGAAAAACUUCUGUUUGAUCAUAAAUAAAGCUCAAGAAGCCUUAUUCA